rnacentral:rRNA from 2 species
UAUAAUUUAAAGUAGGGCCUGCCCACUGAAAAUUUUAAAGGGCCGCAGUAUUUUGACUGUGCAAAGGUAGCAUAAUCAUUAGUUUUUUAAUUGAAAGCUUGUAUGAAUGGUUUGAUGAAAAAAUAACUUUCUUUAUCAUAAUUUUUAAAAAUUUUAUUUUUAAGUUAAAAAGCUUAAAUUUUUUUAAUAGACGAGAAGACCCUAUAGAGUUUAAUUUAAUUAAAUUUUUAAAUUUUUAGAAUUUAAUAAUUUUUAUUUUUAAUUAAAUUUGAUUGGGGUGAUUGAAAAAUUUAAUAAACUUUUUUUUUAUAAUUACAUUAAUUUAUG